UUAUUUUAUUUAUUGUGGGAUUUCAGGCUAUUUUGGACUUUUGCUCGUAUUUAAGCAACAUGCUAGCUUAUUUGGCUUAUUUGGAAUCUACUAAGGUUUUUAGGGCAAAUUUAGAUAAGGCUAAUUUAAUUAUUAGGCUAAUUUAGUUUCUAUUUUAGCAGCACGUUAAUGUUUUUGACUAAUUUCGGUUAUUGAGGAAUUUUAAGCUAUUGAAAGUUCAGCUAGUAUUUCAGCAAAAUUAGCUAGCUAUUUUGGCUAAUUUGAAAUCUACUAAGGUUUUGGGGCUAAUUUGGAGCUCAUUUUUAAGCAUCGCACUAAAUAUUUUUGCAAAAUUAGGUAUUUUUAAUCAAGUCAACUACAGAUCUUUAGGUUAACUUCAGUACUCUUUCAUAGUUCUUUAACAAAAUUUCCAGUCUUUUAGCAAAUUUAACAUUUUGCUAAUAGCUUUUGCAUUUUCAGCCAAAAGCUUCAGCAUCUUCAGCGACUACUUCCAGCAAAAAGCAUUCAUACUAGCAUUAAUACAGUGCUGCUCCAGUUUCCAUCCAAGCCUGAGAUGCGAGCUCCAGUACCCCCCACCCUCCAGACGUGACACCGCACCAGCAUGCUGGGGGACUGGAAGAGCCUCCCCAGACAAGCAGAGUGAAAACCCUCUGUUGCAGUGGGACUGGCGGGUUAAUGCAGGGGAAAAAAACACUGUUACAGAAGAAACGCCGCUUGGAAUCACAGAUGGAUGCAGCUCACUUCCCCCCCCACCUGGCAACAUGGAGCAACAACAUCAUGUAGUCAGGAUUGAUGAGUAAUCACAGUCUUCCUGACUGUGUCAACAAUACUAACAAAGGAAAGCUCACACUCUUCAUCCAUCGAAGACUAAAUAAACAACAUGCAGCUAAA